UAGCAUUGCCUUUUCAAAAAUUCCCAAAAUACUCUCUCUCUCUCUCUCUCUCGACUGCAAGCAGUGGCAAGGGGGGACGACGACGGUCAAUGAGGUAGAGGUCAUCCAAAUGGUUGGAGAAAGUAUAGAAACUGUUGGUGCUGGUUUGGAGGGGGAUCUAGUGGCAAUAAGAUGCCAACACUGGAGGAGUAUGGCACUAAUUUGACAAAAAUGACAGAAGAGGGUAAACUGGAUCCAGUUGUUGGAAGGCAGCCGCAAAUAGAACGUGUGAUUCAAAUUUUGGGUCGACGGACGAAAAAUAACCCCUGACUUAUAGGAGAGCCUGGUGUGGGGAAAACCGUUGUU